AGCGGUGCAUCAGCGUGCACGUAAAAGUGCACGGUAAAUCUCAUUAUCAACCCAAUAACAGCUAAAUCGGAUAAUGUAGAUUCAUAAGAGCAAUCGACUCGUUUUUUUGUUUUGUUUUGUUUUUUACAUGAAACCUUCAGACACGUGUCUGGAGUCGCGGAAAUUCGACGCAUGAGUGUAGAGAUGGACACACGUGGUUGUUUUAAAUGUGCUUUUGAUAUUCGUACCACACCUUGGAGUUGCUGAAAACGUCGCAGCCGUGAAAAGACGAAGGCGGCUCGUACGCUGUUUUAAUGGCAGUGAAAGACUGGAUUUAACCGCAGCGCAGAGUAUCGCUGUUAAAGCUGCUUUAGAGGAGGAGGACGACGGCGAUGAUGAUGCAGUUACUAUAGAAAUGUCCUCAUAUCAGUUGAUGAUUUCACUAUAUUCAACUAAUAAAAUGUUUCGCUUGAU